UACAUGCAAGUCGAACGAGUUUUGGUCGAUGAACGGUGCUUGCACUGUGAUUCAACUUAAAACGAGUGGCGGACGGGUGAGUAACACGUGGGUAACCUGCCCUUGAGUGGGGGAUAACAUUUGGAAACAGAUGCUAAUACCGCAUAAAUCCAAGAACCGCAUGGUUCUUGGCUGAAAGAUGGCGUAAGCUAUCGCUUUUGGAUGGACCCGCGGCGUAUUAGCUAGUUGGUGAGGUAACGGCUCACCAAGGCGAUGAUACGUAGCCGAACUGAGAGGUUGAUCGGCCACAUUGGGACUGA
rnacentral:rRNA from 1 species